GGUCAUGAGUGUCAGCGUCACGGCCCCGGCUCGCUGACCGGCAACCCUCGCUACGCGGCGGGGUGCCCCGGGUGAAGACCUGGCACCCGGCAUUCGCCGGCGUGCAAGCGCGAGUG
rnacentral:ncRNA from 2 species